UGGGGAAUAUUGGACAAUGGGGGCAACCCUGAUCCAGCGAUGCCGCGUGUGUGAAGAAGGCCUGCGGGUUGUAAAGCACUUUAGUUGGGGAGGAAAGGUAUGUACUGCAUAAGUGCAUGCUGUGACGUUACCCAAAGAAUAAGCACCGGCAAACUCUGUGCCAGCAGCCGCGGUAAUACAGAGGGUGCAAGCGUUAAUCGGAAUUACUGGGCGUAAAGCGCGCGUAGGUGGUUAUGUAAGUUGGAUGUGAAAUCCCCGGGCUCAACCUGGGAACUGCAUCCAAAACUGCAUGGCUAGAGUACGGUAGAGGGUGGUGGAAUUUCCUGUGUAGCGGUGAAAUGCGUAGAUAUAGGAAGGAACACCAGUGGCGAAGGCGACCACCUGGACUGAUACUGACACUGAGGUGCGAAAGCGUGGGGAGCAAACAGGAUUAGAUACCCCGGUAGUCCCUGAGCGGGCUGGCAAGGCGCAU
rnacentral:rRNA from 1 species